UCCUCUCCACUCACAAAGAGCUUUUUAGUCACCAGAGCAAAGAAGGUUGGAAGAAAAAGGAGCCAUCAGAAGUAUUUUGGUGAAGGAGGAGAUGACAGAAGGAUGCCAAACUUGCUCCCAUCCUGAUUCUAUGUAUUAUAGUGGUUGAGACUACGGGUAAAGCAGCCAGAUAUGCAGAUGAUACCACUCUAAUAGCAGAAAGUGAAGAGGAACUAAAAAGACUCCUGAUGCAGCUCCAGUCUUGCACAGGAGGAGGCUGUGUUUUAACUAAAGGUUGUCCUCAACUUAUGACCACAACUGCGACCAGAAUUUACAUCGUUAUGCAAGGGGAUUGUUAAGUGAGUUGCUGCAGUUAUUAAGUGACCUGAGUGUUCAUUAAGCGAAUCCAGCUUCCCGCAUUGACUUUGCUUGUCAGAAAUGAGCUGAGAAGUUUGCAAAUGGUGAUCACGUGACCUGAGCCACUACAACCAUGCCAGU